rnacentral:tRNA from 1 species
CGGAGUAUAGCGCAGCUUGGUAGCGCACUUGUUUUGGGUACAAGAGGUCGCGGGUUCAAAUCCCUCUACUCCGACCA